UAUAAUGCAGUCGAGCGAAUCUUUGGGAGCUUGCUCCCAAAGAUUAGCGGCGGACGGGUGAGUAACACGUGGGCAACCUGCCUGUAAGACUGGGAUAACUCCGGGAAACCGGGGCUAAUACCGGAUAAUUCAUUUCCUCUCAUGAGGGAAUGCUGAAAGACGGUUUCGGCUGUCACUUACAGAUGGGCCCGCGGCGCAUUAGCUAGUUGGUGAGGUAACGGCUCACCAAGGCCACGAUGCGUAGCCGACCUGAGAGGGUGAUCGGCCACACUGGGACUGAGACACGGCCCAGACUCCUACGGGAGGCAGCAGUAGGGAAUCUUCCGCAAUGGACGAAAGUCUGACGGAGCAACGCCGCGUGAGCGAUGAAGGCCUUCGGGUCGUAAAGCUCUGUUGUUAGGGAAGAACAAGUACCGGAGUAACUGCCGGUACCUUGACGGUACCUAACCAGAAAGCCACGGCUAACUACGUGCCAGCAGCCGCGGUAAUACGUAGGUGGCAAGCGUUGUCCGGAAUUAUUGGGCGUAAAGCGCGCGCAGGCGGUCCUUUAAGUCUGAUGUGAAAGCCCACGGCUCAACCGUGGAGGGUCAUUGGAAACUGGGGGACUUGAGUGCAGAAGAGGAGAGUGGAAUUCCACGUGUAGCGGUGAAAUGCGUAGAGAUGUGGAGGAACACCAGUGGCGAAGGCGACUCUCUGGUCUGUAACUGACGCUGAGGCGCGAAAGCGUGGGGAGCGAACAGGAUUAGAUACCCUGGUAGUCCACGCCGUAAACGAUGAGUGCUAAGUGUUAGAGGGUUUCCGCCCUUUAGUGCUGCAGCAAACGCAUUAAGCACUCCGCCUGGGGAGUACGGCCGCAAGGC
rnacentral:rRNA from 2 species